CUGGGAACGCAGGAGCUGGAGGAGAUGGGAAACAAGUUCUGCCUUGGUUUGCUGAUUCUGCACCUCAAAUCCCUGCCCUGCAGCAAGGAGCUGAUGGCUCAGGCAGCACUCCUGCUGGAUCUGGAGGAGGAGAUCACAGACAGGGCACAAAGCUUCACUGCCACGAGUCCCAGGACUUUGCUGAAAUUGGCUCUGUUGAGUCUUGAAGGGCAGCUGCUGUUUUUCCUGAUGAAAAGGCUUUCCCAGCUGCAAGCCAGCCCAGCCUGCCUCUACAGAGGGCUCAGUGCCUGUCCUACCCAGAUCAAGGUAUGUCAUUUUGUUUCAUCUGGUGUGGGAGA
rnacentral:lncRNA from 1 species